rnacentral:rRNA from 1 species
GAUGAACGCUAGCGGGAGGCUUAACACAUGCAAGUCGAGGGGAACCCGGGGCGACCCGGGGAGACCGGCGUACGGGUGCGUAACGCGUAUGCAACCUACCUUUUGCAGGGGGAUAUCUUCCGGAAACGGGAGUUAAUACCGCAUAAGCCCUUAAGGCCACAUGGUUGUAAGGGGAAAGUUGAGGCGGCAAAAGAUGGGCAUGCGUCUGAUUAGCUAGUUGGCGGGGUGAAGGCCCACCAAGGCGACGAUCAGUAGGGGUCCUGAGAGGGAGGCCCCCCACACUGGUACUGAGACACGGACCAGACUCCUAGGGGAGGCAGCAGUGAGGAAUAUUGGGCAAUGGGCGGAAGCCUGACCCAGCCAUCCCGCGUGCAGGACGAAGGCCUUAUGGGUUGUAAACUGCUUUUCUGUGGGGAGAAUAGCCCUAACGAGUUAGGGAUUGACGGUACUACAGGAAUAAGCAUCGGCUAACUCCGUGCCAGCCGCCGCGGUAACAC